GGAGAGGUGGCCGAGCUGGUUGAAGGCGGCAUCCUGCUAAGAUGUUGUAGGGCCAAAAGCUCUACCGAGGGUUCGAAUCCCUCCCUCUCCG
rnacentral:tRNA from 1 species